GAUUCAUUUUCCGGGAUCAAUAUAUCCAAAGAAUGUCUAAGUGCCGCCCAUAUUGGGUUAUGCUUUGUCGUUUGUCGAUAAUUCGAUAAAUGAGUUGAAGCAUUAUACUUUGUCGUUUGUCGAUAAUUCGAUAAAUGAGUUGAAGUAUUAUACUUUGUCGUUUGUCGUUAAUACGAUAAAUGAGUUGAAGUAUUGCACUUUGUCAUUCAUUGUGAGAAUUUGAUCUCGUGAGUUAUCGUAAAAGCUGUAUUGAUCAUUAACCCAGUUUUGUGUGCAUCCUUUCCUAAAUUAGGAUUAUUAGUCUUAAUACACUUACAAUCAAAGUAGAUGCUAAUUCUCAGAAGAAUCUGAACCAUGAAGCUUGUUAAUUCAAAUACUGCAUGCUGAUUUGUGAUUACAGUAGAUUGGAGUAAGGAUUGGAUCCGGCACUAAAAGACUUCAAGAAGUGGCUUAUUUUAUUAAUUAAAUCAAAUUAAGAAAUAUUGUUUUUAUUAAAAGCUACCUUUGUAAAACUUAG
rnacentral:lncRNA from 1 species